rnacentral:rRNA from 1 species
UACAGAGGGGGCAAGCGUUGUUCGGAAUUACUGGGCGUAAAGGGCGCGUAGGCGGCCUUCUAAGUCAGACGUGAAAUCCCUCGGCUCAACCGGGGAACUGCGUCUGAGACUGGAAGGCUUGAAUCCGGGAGAGGGAUGUGGAAUUCCAGGUGUAGCGGUGAAAUGCGUAGAUAUCAGGAGGAACACCAACAGCGAAGGCAGCUCGCUGGGACGGUACUGACGCUGAGGAGCGAAAGCGUGGGGAGCAAACAGG